GACGAACGCUGGCGGCGUGCUUAACACAUGCAAGUCGAACGAAGUGGCGAACGGGUGAGUAAUACGUGGGUAACCUGCCCUCCUUUUUGGGAUAAGCCUUGGAAACGGGGUCUAAUACCGAAUAAAGGGGGAUGGGCUCGCGGCCUAUCAGCUUGUUGGUGGGGGGAGGGGCUGACAAGGCGGUGACGGGUAGCCGGCCUGAGAGGGGGACCGGCGACAUAGGGACUGAGAAGCGGCCUAGACUCGGACGGGAGGGAGAAGGGGGGGAUAUUGCACAAGGGGCGAAAGCCUGAUGCAGCGACGCCGCGUGGGGGAUGAAGGCUUUGGGGUUGUAAACCUCUGUCGCUAUCGAGCGGGUAGGUGGAGAAGAAGCGCCGGCUAACUACGUGCCAGCAGCCGCGGUAAUUC
rnacentral:rRNA from 1 species